GCUUGAUCAAUAUGUUUAUUGUCUUUAUGAAAAAAUCUUCAUAGAAAACUGUUUUAGCUUUCAGCAGCCCUUUCCUGAGCUCUGAGGAAGCUUGCCUUCUUUUGAGCAACCCGAUCUUUUUUUCUGCACAAGAGACAUUUUGGGACGAUUCCACCUCUUCUUUUUCACUUCUCUCUUGGGCUUCUUCUCAUAGACUGGAUUCUCUCAGAUAGCAGCAUGAGCUUUCUUAUACAUCUUCAUCUUCCUCCAUUAGGUAGCGCAUGUAGUCUGCCACAUCCUGACCCAUGGU
rnacentral:lncRNA from 1 species